GCUACUACCGAUUGAAUGGUUUAGUGAGGACUCCUGAUUGGCGCCGCCGCCCCGGCAACGGAGCAGCGGACUGCCAAAAAGUUGUUCAAACUUGAUCAUUUAGAGGAAGUAAAAGUCGUAACAAGGUUUCCGUAGGUGAACCUGCAGAAGGAUCAUUCCAUAUAGCUACUACCGAUUGAAUGGUUUAGUGAGGACUCCUGAUUGGCGCCGCCGCCCCGGCAACGGAGCAGCGGACUGCCGAAAAGUUGUUCAAGCUUGAUCAUUUAGAGGAAGUAAAAGUCGUAACAAGGUUUCCGUAGGUGAACCUGCAGAAGGAUCA
rnacentral:misc_RNA from 1 species